AGACGCGCUGCAGGAGAGCUACACUACAUCAGCGUUAUGGCAGUUCCUGAGCUUGGGCUAUGCCCUCAUGCUCUGCCCCUUUGUCAUCGUUUUGGGGGGGAUGUUCUUCCUGGCCACCGCCCUUUUCUUUCUCGACGAUCGUGACAAAGCGGAGAAACAAGUAAACCAGCUUUCCCGGCCGCCAUCCACAGUUAAGGUUACCAAAUGAGAUGGGGCUGCUGCAAUGGAGGGGGGGAAAAAACCCCAGAAGGAAUAAAACUAGCAACUAACUCACUAUACGCACACUCUCGGAUCACCGCUAUCAUAUCAUCUCUGCUUUUUCGUUUCAUCCUGUGAAGGCCGUUCUGAAUUCGAGUCGCACCUUGCUUGCCCUAGGAAACCUUCAGCUGGCAAGAGGUCAGCCAAUCAGCAGCUGGUGUGCAGCUAUUAAUGAUGUAUAUAAAGAGCCACGUGGGCUCCAAUGGGUGUUUGGAAGAGGGUGCACUAGAGCGCUCCGUGCCAUACUACUGAACAAAGCACGGACACACGCUCCCGUCCUGUCACGCUGCCUGUCGAUCUGCACCAAGUGCCAUAGCAUCACAUUCCUAAUGGGGACCAGUACCAAUGAUGCUCACAGCCAAUAAGAGGCUCGCCAAUACGCCAAAAUCCUAUAAAUACAGAACUGAAGGAAUCACUCACAUCACAUCAAAUACCCAACAAAAACAAACUACACGGUGAGCCCUGCCUUAAGAAAUCUGGCAGAGGCACAGGUCUGGUCCCUGGUCACUUUUCUUUCAUAAAGAUUCUUUUCUUUGCUUAUUAUUAAAUGUAUUUUUCCAUUCUUUUUCUUAGCACUUACCAUUUUAAUGCAGUGCCAGUGAAAUCAUGCAGUCAUGCAUGACACCUGAGACCAUUGAAAUCGAUCAUUAUCUUUUCUCUUCUUGCUCUCUGACUGGGUGUUUUUACAAAUUAAACUGGAGGGACUUCAUUAACUAUAGCUGAAAGGGACACUGGAUUGUAAAUAUUAUCUUUUUAUAAUGAAGAAACAACAUGUAAAUGCUUUCAUACUGAACUUUACUGAACAGUCUGCCAGGAUGAAUCCCGUAGUAUGUCCAAGAGGAGAGCAGAAAUACUAAAAAACGUUAACAAGUGAACAAAGCCAAGGUUAUCGUCACUUGUUUAGUGUUUCCCAGCGAGGAAUUCCUUCCGCAGUGCCGGGUUACCCACCCAGACAGGCAAACCUUCAUUUUAACUGCGGAUAAGAUUCACAGGCUCAGUCUAUAAGAAUGAAAGUCUUUGUAUGUUGGCUUACCUUGCUCAUUUGGUUUUACAUAUCCCUUUACUGGAAAAGAAGAGACAGAAAGGAUGAUAGUGUAUCGCAGCCAAGUUAAUUACCUACACUGCAAUCCAUCCGUUUUCAAAAAGGGAAUUUUAAGCUAAGUCUGGAUUGUUUUUUUUGUGCAUUCUGUGAAUUUUGUGGAGGUUUUUUAUGAGCAGAAAACAGAUAUUUGAAUAUGUUGCAUACACUAAGAAAAGCACUUUGCUUUUCACUGAAUAGUCAUGGAUGUGAAGAGACAAAGUUGGAGGGUAAAACUGCAGAAAAUAUCCUUUUUCGCUCUUAUUGGCCUGUGUGGUUUCGCUUCAGAUUAGUUUGUAAUAUAUGCAAUUUAAAAUAAGAUUUCAUCAUUAACAAACGUGAAAGCUUUGACAGUGGCAAUAAUUUGUAUAUCUUCAUGUUUAGCAAGAUUUUCUCAGAGCACACACACCAAAUCUGUCUGCGUCUGAAGCCGUUCAAAUGUAAAUCUGGUCUCAAAGAGAAGGCUUUUUCUUCAUCUUGAAAAUAGCACCUUGCCUAUAGAUUGAUGUGGAAAAAAGCCGAUCUGUGUUUUGAAGGUCUGACUUAACGUAUCAUGUGAAAUUACUGUCCCUAUUUGCCAGUCAUAUCCUUUUAGCAUUUUAUCAUGCCAGGUGAAAAGCCUUUGAAUGUGAUUCUGUCCAAUCCAAUGUGUUUGCCAAUUUAUCCUAAUGAAGCUUUUGUAUUAUUAUUAUUAUUAUUUUACAGAUGUCGUUUUCUUUCUUUUUACAAAUAUGAGUUUUAUAUAUAAACACUAUAAAGAUAAACUAUAUUAUGCAGCAAUUUUAAUAUAUUGUUAACUGCUUUGAUGCAAUGUAUUUAUUACGUUUUUGAUUUGUUUAUUUGCUACCCUUGCUGAUAAGAUGGAAUAAGGGGAAAAAUAAUGUCAUAGAUAUUAUGUACAGUUCUGUUUUUGGUUUAUUUUUGUUUAAAAAAUGCCUCGUCACCAUUUGAAGAAUCUCUCAGUUGUUCAUCUCAGAGAACUGUGUUUUCACAGGAGCCAAUUAUUUUACUGAUUCACACACAGCAUGAUUUACACUUAUACAAAAGUACAUGUAUUGUGUAUCAACAUGUUUCUUAGACCAAUGAACUGAUACUUUACCUGAUUUAUUUUGCACAAGCAACUGGGUGUGUGAAUAAUGUGCUGAUCAGGUGGUUUUCUCUUACUGUCUAAUUCUAUAGUUCUACACUGGCCUUUUGUAAGUGCUAGCUUUGAGGGAUUAUUACCCAUUCACUGCCUGGCUACUAGCUUUUCAAAGUUAUUUUAUAUGCUGUCAAUGAUUAUAUGACUAUCGUUUAUUUGUUUGUUGAAAGGCAACACUCACGGUGAUCUUGAUCAGAUGAACGACUGGCUUAAUAUUUGUAAGGCCAAGUUCAUUUUAUUGACAAAACGCUACUGCUAAUGAGCAGUUUUAUGAGAUCAUUUUAAUUGCUGAAUCGUGAGAGUUGAGUAUUUCAGAUUGCACAUUUUCUUGUCAUACAAGAAUUCUGUAAAGAUGAACCUAUUUCUGAUGUCAAGCAGAAAUUAAAAGGUGAUUUUAUUUUUUAGAGCAAGUGUGAUUAUAAAGAAAAGUAUCUAGGACGUUUACUGUGAUGCUCCCACAGGGAUAUACACCUAUAUGUAACUGAUCAAAAUAAACGUAUUUAAUCAAAA